GUAUUCUCAACUGUGUGUUUUGACACAGAUUGGAUUGGUGGAGGUUGCUGGUAGCAAGAUGAUAUCAGCUCUUCUGAAAUAUAUUAGCAAAGGACAAGCAAACGGCCUUCAAUGUGAUAAUGAUCAUUGUGGGCUUGGAGCAUUUGUUCUAGGCUUUUAUAAUAUGUUGUGCUUACUAGUCAACAAAUUGAA
rnacentral:misc_RNA from 1 species